rnacentral:rRNA from 1 species
AGUCGAACGAAGCGCUUAAAUGGAUUUCUUCGGAUUGAAGUUUUUGUGACUGAGUGGCGGACGGGUGAGUAACGCGUGGGUAACCUGCCUCAUACAGGGGGAUAACAGUUAGAAAUGACUGCUAAUACCGCAUAAGCGCACAGUGCUGCAUGGCACAGUGUGAAAAACUCCGGUGGUAUGAGAUGGACCCGCGUCUGAUUAGCUGGUUGGUGGGGUAACGGCCUACCAAGGCGACGAUCAGUAGCCGGCCUGAGAGGGUGAACGGCCACAUUGGGACUGAGACACGGCCCAAACUCCUACGGGAGGCAGCAGUGGGGAAUAUUGCACAAUGGGGGAAACCCUGAUGCAGCGACGCCGCGUGAGCGAAGAAGUAUUUCGGUAUGUAAAGCUCUAUCAGCAGGGAAGAAAAUGACGGUACCUGACUAAGAAGCACCGGCUAAAUACGUGCCAGCAGCCGCGGUAAUACGUAUGGUGCAAGCGUUAUCCGG